rnacentral:rRNA from 1 species
AUACGGAGGAUGCGAGCGUUAUCCGGAUUUAUUGGGUUUAAAGGGUGCGUAGGCUGUGCGUUAAGUCAGGGGUGAAAUGCCGUCGCUCAACGACGGAGCUGCCCUUGAUACUGGCGUGCUGGAGUACGGCUGCCGUUGGAGGAAUGAGUGGUGUAGCGGUGAAAUGCUUAGAUAUCACUCAGAACACCGAUUGCGAAGGCAUCUGACGAAUCCGUCACUGACGCUGAGGCACGAAAGCGUGGGGAUAGAACAGGAUUAGAUACCCUGGUAUUCCACGCCGUAAACGAUGAUGACUAACCGUCGGCGAUAGACAGCCGGUGGCCAAGCGAAAGCGAUAAGUCAUCCACCUGGGGAGUACGUCGGCAACGAUGAAACUCAAAGGAAUUGACGGGG